GAAAUGCGAUAAGUAAUGUGAAUUGCAGAAUUCAGUGAAUCAUCGAAUCUUUGAACGCACCUUGCGCUCCUUGGUAUUCCUUGGAGCAUGCCUGUUUGACUAUCAUGAAAUCUUCAAAGUAAAUCUUUUGUUAACUCAAUUGGUUUCUACUUUGGUAUUGGAGGUCUUUGCAGCUUCACACCUGCUCCUCUUUGUUCAUUAGCUGGAUCUCAGUGUUAUGCUUGGUUCCACUCGGCGUGAUAAGUUAUCUAUCGCUGAGGACACUGUAAAAGGUGGCCAAGGUAAAUGCAGAUGAACCGCUUCUAAUAGUCCAUUGACUUGGACAAUACUUUUAUGAUCUGAUCUCAAAUCAGGUAGGACUACCCGCUGAACUUAAGC
rnacentral:misc_RNA from 1 species